AUGGCGACGCUCAAGGUCCCCUCCAACGUCCCGGCCCUCGCCGACGACUGCGACAACCUCCGCAAGGCCUUCCAAGGGUGGGGCACGAACGAGGCGCUCAUCAUCUCCAUCCUCGGCCACCGCGACGCCGCGCAGCGCCGCGCCAUCCGCAAGCACUACGCCGACACCUACGGCGAGGAGCUGCUCCGGAGCAUCACCGACGAGAUCUCCGGCGACUUCGAGAGGGCCGUGAUCCUGUGGACGCUGGACCCGGCGGAGCGGGACGCGGUGCUCGCCAACGAGACCGCCAAGAAGUGGCACCCCGGGAACCCCGUGCUGGUCGAGAUCGCCUGCGCGCGCGGCUCCAAGCAGCUCUUCGCUGUCAGGCAGGCCUACCACGACCGCUUCAAGCGCUCGCUCGAGGAGGACGUCGCUGCCCAUAUCACCGGCGACUUCCGCAAGCUGUUGGUGCCACUUGUAAGCUCACACCGCUAUGAGGGACCAGAGGUCAACACAAGGUUGGCUCAUUCAGAGGCCAAAUUACUACAUGAGAAGAUUGAGCAUAAGGCUUAUGGUGAUGAUGAGGAUCUCAAGGCUGACCCCAAGGAUGAGUUUCUCAAAACCCUGCGGGCUGUUAUCCGGUGCUUCACCUGUCCUGAUAGGUACUUUGAGAAGGUGGCCAGGCUGGCCAUUGCAGGCAAUGGAACCGAUGAGAACUCCCUCACUAGGGUCAUAACCACCCGCGCUGAGGUGGACCUGAAGCUGAUCAAAGAGGCGUAUCAGAAGAGAAACAGUGUUCCCCUGGAGAAGGCCGUCGCAGGCGACACCUCCGGCGACUACGAGAGCAUGCUCCUCGCCCUCCUGGGGAAGGAGUGA
rnacentral:rRNA from 1 species